AGAGUUUGAUCAUGGCUCAGAAUGAACGUUGGCGGCGUGGAUUAGGCAUGCAAGUCGAGCGAGAAUCCCCGCAAGGGGAGGAAAGCGGCGAAAGGGAGAGUAAUACGUAGGUACCUGCCCUCGGGCCUGGGAUAACUGCGGGAAACUGCAGCUAAUACCAGAUGACGUCCAUGGACCAAAGGUGUGAUUCCGCCAGGGGAUGGGCCUGCGUCCUAUCAGCUAGUUGGUGUGGUAAAGGCCCACCAAGGCGACGAUGCGUAGCUGGUCUGAGAGGAUGAUCAGCCACACUGGGACUGAGACACGGCCCAGACUCCUACGGGAGGCAGCAGCCAGGAAUCUUGGGCAAUGGGCGAAAGCCUGACCCAGCAACACCGUGUGGGCGAUGAAGGCCUUCGGGUCGUAAAGCCCUGUUGAUAGGGACGAAGGGCGAAGGGUUAAUAGCCCCUAGCCUGACGGUACCUUUCGAGGAAGCCCCGGCUAACUACGUGCCAGCAGCCGCGGUAAUACGUAGGGGGCGAGCGUUGUCCGGAAUUAUUGGGCGUAAAGAGCGUGUAGGCUGUUCGGUAAGUCUGCCGUGAAAACCUGAGGCUCAACCUCGGGCGUGCGGUGGAUACUGCCGGGCUAGAGGACGGUAGAGGCGAGUGGAAUUCCCGGUGUAGCGGUGAAAUGCGCAGAUAUCGGGAGGAACACCAGUAGCGAARGCGACUCGCUGGGCCGUUCCUGACGCUGAGACGCGAAAGCUAGGGGAGCGAACAGGAUUAGAUACCCUGGUAGUCC
rnacentral:rRNA from 1 species